rnacentral:rRNA from 1 species
AUUGAACGCUGGCGGCAGGCUUAACACAUGCAAGUCGAGCGGAGAUGAGGUGCUUGCACCUUAUCUUAGCGGCGGACGGGUGAGUAAUGCUUAGGAAUCUGCCUAUUAGUGGGGGACAACAUUCCGAAAGGAAUGCUAAUACCGCAUACGCCCUACGGGGGAAAGCAGGGGAUCUUCGGACCUUGCGCUAAUAGAUGAGCCUAAGUCGGAUUAGCUAGUUGGUGGGGUAAAGGCCUACCAAGGCGACGAUCUGUAGCGGGUCUGAGAGGAUGAUCCGCCACACUGGGACUGAGACACGGCCCAGACUCCUACGGGAGGCAGCAGUGGGGAAUAUUGGACAAUGGGCGGAAGCCUGAUCCAGCCAUGCCGCGUGUGUGAAGAAGGCCUUUUGGUUGUAAAGCACUUUAAGCGAGGAGGAGGCUACCUGGAUUAAUACUCUAGGAUAGUGGACGUUACUCGCAGAAUAAGCACCGGCUAACUCUGUGCCAGCAGCCGCCGCUGUAA